rnacentral:lncRNA from 1 species
GGGUGACCAAGUCUGAGUUUGCGAGGCCUUCCUGGUUUUAGCACAGAAAGUCUUGCAUUCCAGGAAACUCAGCCCAAGGCAGACCAAGAUGGUCGCUCAUCUUCCUUCCAGCUUGUUGCAGUUCUUACAACUUAUUAUUGAGCCCUUAAGUCUAUCUUGUCUGGACAUGUAGCAGAAAACAACUUUACGACUUAGUAAAGUAUGAGGAAGAUGGUGCUAUCUUGCUGCCAACGAUUCCAUGGCAAACCCUCCAGAUAAGUCCCUUCCUCUAGUUAUCAAAUUUGCCUAUUCAGUACAUCUGGCCCACAAGCCAAUUUGAUAUCAUGAUGUCUUCAAGAAAGUCUCUUUAAAAACUCUCUAAUAAUGUACCUAGUUGUGGAAUUGCUGAAUUGCUUGGUAAGAUUUUAUUUAUCCUUUUAAGAAGCUGCCAAACUGUUCCCCAAAUGGCUGUACCAUUUGUAUUCCCAGCAGUAAACACAUUCUCACCAC